GGCAGGCUGUGUGCAAGGUAUCUGUCCCUGUUUAGUGCUGUUUUCUGACUGUGUUUUGCAGCUGGUUUGCAGUGCUCACACAUACCCUGCUGACCACAGAGAAAAACGAGAUCAUAGUACUGGUCCAGUGACGUCGCAAGACAGUUUGCCACUGAUCAGCCUCCAAACUCUCAUACAACA
ensembl:snoRNA